UGGGGAAUAUUGCACAAUGGGCGCAAGCCUGAUGCAGCCAUGCCGCGUGUGUGAAGAAGGCCUUCGGGUUGUAAAGCACUUUCAGCGAGGAGGAAGGGUUCAGUGUUAAUAGCACUGUUCAUUGACGUUACUCGCAGAAGAAGCACCGGCUAACUCCGUGCCAGCAGCCGCGGUAAUACGGAGGGUGCAAGCGUUAAUCGGAAUUACUGGGCGUAAAGCGCACGCAGGCGGUUUGUUAAGUCAGAUGUGAAAUCCCCGAGCUUAACUUGGGAACUGCAUUUGAAACUGGCAAGCUAGAGUCUUGUAGAGGGGGGUAGAAUUCCAGGUGUAGCGGUGAAAUGCGUAGAGAUCUGGAGGAAUACCGGUGGCGAAGGCGGCCCCCUGGACAAAGACUGACGCUCAGGUGCGAAAGCGUGGGGAGCAAACA
rnacentral:rRNA from 2 species